AGGGUCCAUGUGGAGCACAAGGAGCAAAAGGACCCGCAGGGAUUCGGGGCCAGGUCGGUUUCCAGGGCUUCCCGGGCCCCCGAGGAGCAGCGGGGCCCCAGGGACCAGAGGGGGAAGAAGGGCAGAUUGGUCCAAUGGGGCUGAACAGCAGUGAGGGACCCAAGGGAAGCCAAGGACCUGAUGGCCCCAGGGGACCCCCAGGACCACGGGGAGCCAGGGGCCGUGUGGGUCAGCGUGGGCUGGUUGGAGUCCCAGGGCUGC